rnacentral:rRNA from 1 species
CCUACGGGGGGCUGCAGUGGGGAAUAUUGGACAAUGGGCGAAAGCCUGAUCCAGCCAUGCCGCGUGUGUGAAGAAGGCCUUCGGGUUGUAAAGCACUUUCAGUGGGGAAGAAAGCCUUGGGGCUAAUACCCUCGAGGAAGGACAUCACCCACAGAAGAAGCACCGGCUAACUCCGUGCCAGCAGCCGCGGUAAUACGGAGGGUGCGAGCGUUAAUCGGAAUUACUGGGCGUAAAGCGCGCGUAGGCGGUCUGAUAAGCCGGUUGUGAAAGCCCCGGGCUCAACCUGGGAACGGCAUCCGGAACUGUCAGGCUAGAGUGCAGGAGAGGAAGGUAGAAUUCCCGGUGUAGCGGUGAAAUGCGUAGAGAUCGGGAGGAAUACCAGUGGCGAAGGCGGCCUUCUGGACUGACACUGACGCUGAGGUACGAAAGCGUGGGUAGCAAACAGGAUUAGAUACCCGAGUAGUC